GCUUUCUGGUGAACUUCUGCAUUUUCGCUGUAUCAGUUAGAGAGAGAAGACUUGACUCCAUCUCCACCAGCGCAAAUCAUGGAGGUCUUGACAGAGCUGCCCCACCAGUUACUGAGAGAGCAGGUUGAGUGGGCAACUACAGGCAGAGUGACUUGCUGGAGAAUAGAGGCAAGAGAUCCACCGGCUGCAAAAGAACAAGGACUAUACUGCAAAGAAUGCAAGAACUUACCGCAGAUUGCAAGAGCAGCAAGGAAGAGAAGCCUGAGCAUUGUUAUAAAGAAAGAAAAUACUUACAUUGCAGGAAGACUUGACUCCAUCUCCACCAGCGCAGAUCAUGGUGGUCUUGACAGUGCUGCCCCACCAGGAGCUGAGAGAGCAGGUUGCGUGGGCAACUACAGGCAGAGUGGCU